GGGUGAGUAAUGUAUCGGAACGUGCCCAGUAGCGGGGGAUAACUACGCGAAAGCGUAGCUAAUACCGCAUACGCCCUACGGGGGAAAGCAGGGGAUCGCAAGACCUUGCACUAUUGGAGCGGCCGAUAUCGGAUUAGCUAGUUGGUGGGGUAACGGCUCACCAAGGCGACGAUCCGUAGCUGGUUUGAGAGGACGACCAGCCACACUGGGACUGAGACACGGCCCAGACUCCUACGGGAGGCAGCAGUGGGGAAUUUUGGACAAUGGGGGAAACCCUGAUCCAGCCAUCCCGCGUGUGCGAUGAAGGCCUUCGGGUUGUAAAGCACUUUUGGCAGGAAAGAAACGUCGUGGGUUAAUACCCCGCGAAACUGACGGUACCUGCAGAAUAAGCACCGGCUAACUACGUGCCAGCAGCCGCGGUAAUACGUAGGGUGCAAGCGUUAAUCGGAAUUACUGGGCGUAAAGCGUGCGCAGGCGGUUCGGAAAGAAAGAUGUGAAAUCCCAGAGCUUAACUUUGGAACUGCAUUUUUAACUACCGGGCUAGAGUGUGUCAGAGGGAGGUGGAAUUCCGCGUGUAGCAGUGAAAUGCGUAGAUAUGCGGAGGAACACCGAUGGCGAA
rnacentral:rRNA from 1 species